UUCACCAGACCUGGGCCUCAAAUCUCUUCAGCAGGAUGCCCUGCAGAGUUUAACCCUUGCCUUUCCCGUGAGCCAUGGUGUAAUGGAAAGGCCCUGGUCUUGAAGUGUGCAGCAGAGACAGCAAAGACUACAUGGACUGAUGCCUCUUCCAUGACAAGUUCCUACGGUUGGAUGAGCCUCCUUGCACAAGCACUGACCUUCUGGCACUGUUUGCAUCUAGAUGUGACCAGCUUCUGGUGUUUUUCAGUGGGUCACCAGUGUUUUCCAUGUGAGCUGAGGCUGCUAAACACUGGUUCCUUAUCCAGUCACUCUUUCCCCAUCUUCCAGUUGAAUGAUGCUGAGAACAGAAAACUCACAACAUGACAAAACCACAGGGAGAGACGGCCUGAGUGAGGGCUGUUUGUCUGGAGUCGCCCACCUUGGACUUUGCGUGAAUGAGGAGGAAAUAUAUGAAUUCAGUGAGGGCUUAGUGAAAACAUUAGUGAAAAUAAGCCUGGUGAAUACAUCCUCAGGUUGGUCUGAGUCUGGGCUCUCCCAUGUUACCUUUACACCUGGACAAGUGCUAACAGCCACAAGCCUAGAGAGCCAAGAUAUUGUGUGAGUUUAUGAAGAUAACAUACAAGGUGCCGUGAUGUCUUAAACAGGUUCAAAACAUUUGUCCUUCAUGCUCAUUUAUACUUUGGGAAAGAGCAAGAAAUCACAUGCCAUCAGAUCUAUGAAGAAGGGGGACUGGACAUCAUAAUGUUUCAAUGGCCUGCCUUUCCACUGAACGGCAGUCAGCAGCAACUUUCCCUGUAUUUUUUAUCACAUACUCAUGAGAGUUUCCAGAACUGCUUCAGAAAAUGGCAAGAAGAAUUAGAGACAUGUGUUCAAGAGCUGCACUGGUCACUUUGGGACCCACAUCCCUCUGAAACAAUAGGCAAAACGUGGAAUUUCUGUGCUGGCUUGUAUGAUUGAUCCUGACGAGGAAGGGGAAAGUGGACUGCUACUACA